rnacentral:lncRNA from 1 species
CUCCCCCCUCCUUUUUUUCCUUUUUUCCCCACGCUUUCCGCGCGCCGGUUUAAGCAACCAUGAUCUGUGAAUAAACAAAGUCUGUAAACAACCGAAAAAAACAUUCUAGAUCCGAAUUCCAGGAGGGUAAACUUUCCAUGCCACGUCACACUUCAGCAAAUUUGCACAGAUAUUAUAUUGCCUCCCCCCUCCUUUAUUAUUCUUUUUUUUUUUUUUUUGCCAGGAUCCCAUUGUACUUAACUGAAUUUUAUAACGCUGAUCGAUAUCUUGGUAAAAUAUUCAUUUUUAAACUAGCGGGCAGUGAAAUCUUUGCUUUGUGUGCUAAAGUCAACAGUCGCUUGGUUUGAGCUCAAAUAAAUGCGGGGAUGCCUCGGCUCGGAGCAGUCGGCCUCCUCCCUCCGCGAGCUGGACGCUCCGCAGCCCGCCCGCCAGCCGGCCCGCCGGCCGCCGCAGGAAUCCCUGGAUAAAGACCAGCUCAACCAUCGCUGAGAAAACAGACCUAGGCUUCCCAGGGCGGUUAACCCGCCGGCCUCUGGGCAGAGACUACAAAACAAAAUAAAACAACAACAAAAAACUCCCAGUGUGUUUCCUACUCUUCUUUGUCUUGGAGGAAAGCAAAGGGAGAGAAAUGGACUUCACCAGUGGUCUUUGGCUUCAUCAAUUCACAGAAAAAAACGCUUUCGUAUAUUUUUCCUGCUGGGUGGUCAGAAGGAAAGGCCGUGAAGCUAAAGGUCUCCCACUGAGACGCUGUUCUGCAAGGAGCCGACCUCACGUGCCGCCGCCGCCAGAGAAGAGAGCACCUGUUCAUCUCGGCUCACUGUGAGGCUGAGCUCAGCGCUGGCAGGCGAGGGGCCGCAAGCAUCCCCCACAGCCACCGAGAGGGCAUCCCUGCAGGGAAAUCAUAUCCGACAUGCCUGUGCCCACAGCAGACUUAAGACUGCCUCUAAAAUGUCCAUGAAGCCAUUGUCCAGUAGAGCUGUUAGUUUUAACACCAGUGAGUAUUACCUUUGGUUAAAAGGAUGCAUGUGUAUAGGUGUAUGUGUGUGCGUGUGUGUUUGUGUUUUUGGACUUGUGUGGAGAAUGAAGAAAGGGUUCCAUUUAGGCAUUUGCAAAUAUUCGAUGGCAUCAUGAAAAGACAAAAAAAUCCUAUAAAAUAUAUCAUAUUUUGCUAUGAUUUUGUGUGUACAUGUAAUAAAAUUAUUAAGUAUAAAUUGUUCUGUAUUUCUUUGCAAGCAUAAAUUCUAAAAUUUUGUAUUUAGUACAGAAUAAUUCGUAUCACAUAAUAAGGG